rnacentral:rRNA from 1 species
UACGUAGGGGGCAAGCGUUGUCCGGAUUUAUUGGGCGUAAAGAGCGUGUAGGCGGCCUGGAAGGUCAGCUGUGAAAACUCGAGGCUCAACCUCGAGCUGUCGGUUGAAACCACCUGGCUAGAGUCCGGAAGAGGAGAGUGGAAUUCCCGGUGUAGCGGUGAAAUGCGCAGAUAUCGGGAAGAACACCCGUGGCGAAGGCGGCUCUCUGGGACGGUACUGACGCUGAGACGCGAAAGCGUGGGGAGCGAACAGG